rfam:Silicibacter sp. TM1040, complete genome.
GGAUCGGGAGGUCGCCAUUCGGGACGGUGGCCAUGAAUUGAUCCAGACCACGCUGUCUCUGACGGAUGAGGUGCCGGGGCCCGGCGGCUGCCUUG